rnacentral:rRNA from 1 species
UACGUAGGGGGCAAGCGUUGCCCGGAAUCAUUGGGCGUAAAGAGCGUGUAGGCGGCUCGAUAAGUCUGCUGUGAAAGUCCAGGGCUCAACCCUGGAAGGCCGGUGGAAACUGUCGGGCUAGAGUCCGGAAGAGGCGAGUGGAAUUCCCGGUGUAGCGGUGAAAUGCGCAGAUAUCGGGAGGAACACCUAUGGCGAAGGCAGCUCGCUGGGACGUUACUGACGCUGAGACGCGAAAGCGUGGGGAGCAAACAGG